AGGCGCGUAGCUCAGGGGUAGAGCGCUACCUUGACACGGUAGAGGUCGGCGGUUCGAUACCGCCCGUGCCUACCA
rnacentral:tRNA from 1 species